rnacentral:rRNA from 2 species
UCGAGCGAACAGAUAAGGAGCUUGCUCCUUUGACGUUAGCGGCGGACGGGUGAGUAACACGUGGAUAACCUACCUAUAAGACUGGGAUAACUUCGGGAAACCGGAGCUAAUACCGGAUAACAUAUUGAACCGCAUGGUUCAAUAGUGAAAGGCGGCUUUGCUGUCACUUAUAGAUGGAUCCGCGCCGUAUUAGCUAGUUGGUAAGGUAACGGCUUACCAAGGCAACGAUACGUAGCCGACCUGAGAGGGUGAUCGGCCACACUGGAACUGAGACACGGUCCAGACUCCUACGGGAGGCAGCAGUAGGGAAUCUUCCGCAAUGGGCGAAAGCCUGACGGAGCAACGCCGCGUGAGUGAUGAAGGUCUUCGGAUCGUAAAACUCUGUUAUCAGGGAAGAACAAAUGUGUAAGUAACUGUGCACAUCUUGACGGUACCUGAUCAGAAAGCCACGGCUAACUACGUGCCAGCAGCCGCGGUAAUACGUAGGUGGCAAGCGUUAUCCGGAAUUAUUGGGCGUAAAGCGCGCGUAGGCGGUUUUUUAAGUCUGAUGUGAAAGCCCACGGCUCAAC